ACAGCAGUUUUCAAUGGUAAAUGUGCAGAAAUCUGUGUGGUGGAAUGAGUAAAACAGCACUUUUGAAAAGUUAACUGUCCAGUGAUGUUGUUGGGCUAUGGUGAUGCACGCACGCAUCACAAUGUGCAGGGACAUUAAUGAAAGAAAGAUUAUGUUCCCGACAUGCAGUUACACACAGAGCGGGAGUUAACAAAGGUAGAUGUACGAACAGCCGCUACUAGUUGUCACGAUCAACUGACGAUAGAAUGAGGUCCCUUCGAACUAUUUGAGAGAAAUCGUCCUAAAUUUGUUCACGAUACGGUAGCAUUUGCAGAAACCAAAUACCUUUCCUUAUAACAGGAUGUAUCGUGAACGGGAUGGUGCAAUUGCAGAUACGGUCUGUCUUACUGCAAAGGAUACAUAGUGUCAUAUGACACACCACACCCAGCGAUUUUCGUCCUAUUAUUGUGUAGAUAUGUUUUUGUAGGGCAUUUGCAUGAACAGUGCGGAUUGAACGUUUUACGUGUAGUAUAGUUGCGUGAUUUGUAAUGCAUUCGUGAACGGAAUCCUGUUUGCAUUCGUUGAAUGUACUUAGCCAGGACGUUAUGACAUGAUUUAUAUCCUAAUGUUUUCUACACAAAUGUGUGUGGGUGGGCAUGACUUAGCUAAUCGUUACGUCAAACGGAUAAAAAGAAAUUUCACUUAUAAAAGCCAUCGUCAUUCAAGUGUACGGAAGAAGACAUUUUUUUUACGAAUUAUUCCUCGUAAUUUGAAACGAUGGCUACGAAACGUGAGAGAGAAACUGGUUCGGUG